GGAUGAGGACACUGUUGGUAAAGGAUGUCACGAGGAAGAGUUACCUUUACCUGAGACUCAACAUGUCAAGCUAGUGGACUUAGGAAAGUCAAAAAAUAACUUGAGUGAGAGUAAACUAAAUUCUGACAUCAGUAGGGGAUGUAGGACCUCGGGGUCUCGUGCUGUUACCGGACAUUUGAAUACGCCAUUCAAGUGUGACCUAUCGACGCCCCAACCGAAGCUAAGGCUCAGCAGACAACCAGUUAGUUGCACCACUGAAACGAGUUCCUCGUCUUCUUUGACUUCAAAGUCAACCGCAAUCGAAGAUAUCCCGUUAGACGAUAUUCUUGAUCGGUUGAAAAACAGCCUGAUAAUUCAAAAUGAAGCAUUAUUUCCUAAUAAAAAUUGGGAGACGGAACUAAGGCGAGAACUCCAGGAAACCUAUUAUUCCGUGUAAAAUGUUGUUUUUUGUCUUUUGAAUAUUCUGUUCUUAUGUUCAUUUUGAUUAAUGAAGGUGUCCGUAAUGAAUUUUCUACUGAUCAGCACGUUCACCACUACACGUUUUGUUAUUCUCUUGAAGACUGUAUUCAUAAAACCUAUUUGUUGU